GACGAACGCUGGCGGCGUGCUUAACACAUGCAAGUCGAACGGAAAGGCCCCUUUGGGGGUACUCGAGUGGCGAACGGGUGAGUAACACGUGAGUAACCUGCCCUUGACUUCGGGAUAACUUCAGGAAACUGGGGCUAAUACCGGAUAGGAAUCCUUGCUGCAUGGUGGGGGUUGGAAAGCUUCGGCGGUUUUGGAUGGACUCGCGGCUUAUCAGCUUGUUGGUGGGGUAGUGGCUUACCAAGGCUUUGACGGGUAGCCGGCCUGAGAGGGCGACCGGGCAGAGUGGGUGGUGGAAGGGGCCAGGACUCCAGGGGGGGGCAGAGGGGGGGAUGAUUGAACAAGGGGAGGGGGCCUGAGGCAACAAGCCGGGGGGGGGGAGGAGGGCCUUGGGGUUGAAAACGGUUUUCAGCGGGGGAGAAGCUUGUGGUGACGUUACCGGCAGAAGAAGCACCGGCUAACUCGGUG
rnacentral:rRNA from 1 species